GAUGAACGCUGGCGGCGUGCCUAAUACAUGCAAGUCGAGCGAACAGACGAGGAGCUUGCUCCUCUGACGUUAGCGGCGGACGGGUGAGUAACACGUGGAUAACCUACCUAUAAGACUGGGAUAACUUCGGGAAACCGGAGCUAAUACCGGAUAAUAUAUUGAACCGCAUGGUUCAAUAGUGAAAGACGGUUUUGCUGUCACUUAUAGAUGGAUCCGCGCCGCAUUAGCUAGUUGGUAAGGUAACGGCUUACCAAGGCGACGAUGCGUAGCCGACCUGAGAGGGUGAUCGGCCACACUGGAACUGAGACACGGUCCAGACUCCUACGGGAGGCAGCAGUAGGGAAUCUUCCGCAAUGGGCGAAAGCCUGACGGAGCAACGCCGAGUGAGUGAUGAAGGUCUUCGGAUCGUAAAACUCUGUUAUUAGGGAAGAACAAAUGUGUAAGUAACUAUGCACGUAUUGACGGUACCUAAUCAGAAAGCCACGGCUAACUACGUG
rnacentral:rRNA from 1 species